AGCAGCCGCGGUAAUUCCAGCUCCAAUAGCGUAUAUUAAAGUUGCUGCAGUUAAAAAGCUCGUAGUUGAAUUUCGGGAUCAAUAUGUUGGUCGUGCCUCGGUACGUACUAGCUUAUUGGUUUCUCCCUUCUGACGAACCAUGAUGUCAUUUAUUUGGUGUUAUGGGAAAUCAGGACUGUUACUUUGAAAAAAUUAGAGUGUUUAAAGCAGGCUCACGCUUGAAUACAUUAGCAUGGAAUAAUGAAAUAGGACGUUUGAUUCUAUUUUGUUGGUUUCUAGGAUCGACGUAAUGAUUAAUAGGGAUAGUUGGGGGCAUUAGUAUUCAAUUGUCAGAGGUGAAAUUCUUGGAUUUAUUGAAGACUAACUACUGCGAAAGCAUUUGCCAAGGAUGUUUUCAUUAAUCAAGAACGAAAGUUAGGGGAUCGAAGACGAUCAGAUACCGUCGUAGUCUUAACCAUAAACUAUGCCGACUAGGGAUCGGAUGAUGUUAAUUUUUAAUGACUCAU
rnacentral:rRNA from 1 species